AAGUUAUGAAUACCAUAACCAAAAUAAAUCCUACACAUUGUGGCGCCUCCGAGAUGAAAUGUGAACUCACACAUCAGAACACUCUACAUAAGUCGAGAUAAAGAAAGAAGCACACUCAUUCUAGACUAAGCAUGCCAAUAGGAUGACAUUCCUGGACAUCAGAACCGUGCUUUGAGGGCAGUAUUAAAACUAGAAACAUACAACCCGAACAAAUGGAAAUAAAUGUUGCUCAGAAUAUAUCAAUCCAGCACAUCAUAUAAGUAUUAGCUUCAAUACACCAAUCAAACAUUUAAUAGUAAUCUUCUUCAACCCCUAACAUUGAAAGGGAAAA
rnacentral:misc_RNA from 1 species